CGCCGCCGCCGCCGCCGCCAUCAUGGGGAAAUCAGAUUUCCUCAGCCCCAAGGCCAUCGCCAACCGCAUCAAGUCUAAAGGGCUGCAGAAGCUGCGCUGGUACUGCCAGAUGUGCCAGAAACAGUGCCGCGACGAGAAUGGCUUCAAAUGUCAUUGCAUGUCUGAGUCCCACCAGAGGCAAUUGCUGCUGGCUUCUGAAAAUCCUCAGCAAUUCAUGGAUUACUUCUCUGAGGAAUUCCGAAAUGAUUUCCUAGAACUACUCAGGAGGCGCUUUGGAACGAAGAGAGUCCACAAUAAUAUUGUAUACAAUGAAUAUAUCAGUCAUCGAGAGCACAUCCACAUGAACGCUACGCAAUGGGAGACACUGACUGAUUUUACUAAAUGGUUGGGUAGAGAAGGUCUUUGCAAGGUUGAUGAGACUCCAAAAGGCUGGUAUAUCCAAUAUAUUGAUAGAGACCCAGAGACUAUUCGCAGGCAACAAGAACAAGAGAGGAAGAAGAAGCAGGACCUUGAUGAUGAAGAAAAAACUGCUAAAUUCAUUGAACAACAAGUUAGAAGAGGUUUGGAGGGCAAGGAACUGGAAAAGCCAGUCUAUACUGAGCUGAACAGGGAAAAUGAAGAAGAAAAAGUUGCAUUUAAUUUAAACAAAGGAGCAAGUACUUCAGUAGCAGCAUCUUCUAAAACAAGCAGUGUCCUUGGACCAAAUGCACUGAAGAUGGUGGAAGGGGCAGUUAAGAGAAAAGAAUCUUCUCAUAGCUCUGGUCAGUCCAAAGAGAAAAAGAAGAAAUCUGCACUGGAUGAGAUUAUGGAGCUUGAAGAAGAGAAGAAAAGAACAGCUCGAACAGACUACUGGUUGCAGCCUGAAAUCAUUGUAAAAAUUGUAACAAAAAAACUUGGAGAGAAGUAUCACAAGAAGAAGGCAGUUGUUAAGGAAGUAAUUGACAAAUACACUGCGGUUGUGAAGAUGAUUGAUUCUGGAGACAAACUGAAGCUUGAUCAGACGCAUCUGGAGACUGUAAUACCAGCACCAGGCAAGAAAGUUUUGGUAUUAAAUGGUGGUUACAGAGGAAAUGAAGGCAUCUUGGAAUCUAUCAAUGAGAAGAGCUUUUCAGCAACUAUAACUAUUGACUCUGGACCUUUAAAAGGACGCCGAGUUGAAGGUAUCCAGUAUGAAGACAUUUCCAAACUUGCCUGAGACACUGUGUCUGCAGGAAGGAUCACGGAGAAGUCUGCAGCUCAUGGAUGAAGGAAACUAAAGUUCAGAAGGGCAAAUAUGAGAAGCCUAGCAGAGACACAGAGCAAAAGCAAGGACUCAGUUCAGCUGCCCUCACAUAAAGCAUCUCAUGCCUCUCGAGAUGCUCUGGGACACCCAGAACAUGCAUGCGGAGCUGGCAGACAUGACAGAAGACCCACUAGAAACUCGUGGCCCUGGGAGUGGUACCUAGUGGCCUGGCAGGACAGCGUUAAUAGGACACAGCAUGCCAUGUUCAGGCAAACAAAUCCUGCCCUACAGGUCUAAGAUCCUCUUACAAUUCGUGGAGAUUUUGGAAGUGAUUCCUUUGCCUAAACAGGUGUCUACAGCUGCAGGCAAUGCUAACUUGGCUGCUAGCUGUUAAUCUGCGGGUGAAGGUCUCCUGGACAUUGGGAGACAUGUCUCCUAGCUGCUUGUGGAUGUCAGGAAUCCUUAGAGUACCUCAAAGAGCAUUAGAUGCUUGUGUUCAGGCAACUGAUCCUGGCCUUAGUCAAUACAGUCAGGAGCAGGGAGAGGAAUUCAGCUCUUCCUGCUUAUGUUUGAUCAGCCGAAUCCCUCUCUUGGCUUUAUUGCCUAAUCCCCACUAACUAUAAUGAAAGCUCAGAUAUCUAGCUGAGAUGCACGUGCCCACAUGUAGGCACACUGUGACCUGGAUCCCACCCACAUCUGGACAAGCUUAGUUCCAAACAGUUUCCAUACAUCAAACAAUAAAUGCUCCUCAACUUACUGUUUCCGAAUAAUGUGUCCUGUGUCAGACCAGGUCAGCGUGAUGCUGUAAGAGCCAUCUUUCAGUGUUAUUGUUUCUGU